AUUGAACGCUGGCGGCAUGCCUUACACAUGCAAGUCGAACGGCAGCACGGGGGCAACCCUGGUGGCGAGUGGCGAACGGGUGAGUAAUACAUCGGAACGUGUCCUGGAGUGGGGGAUAGCCCGGCGAAAGCCGGAUUAAUACCGCAUACGCUCUAUGGAGGAAAGCGGGGGAUCUUCGGACCUCGCGCUCAAGGGGCGGCCGAUGGCGGAUUAGCUAGUUGGUAGGGUAAAGGCCUACCAAGGCGACGAUCCGUAGCUGGUCUGAGAGGACGACCAGCCACACUGGGACUGAGACACGGCCCAGACUCCUACGGGAGGCAGCAGUGGGGAAUUUUGGACAAUGGGGGCAACCCUGAUCCAGCAAUGCCGCGUGUGUGAAGAAGGCCUUCGGGUUGUAAAGCACUUUUGUCCGGAAAGAAAUCCUCUGGGUUAAUACCUCGGGGGGAUG
rnacentral:rRNA from 1 species